GACUUUAGCUUAUUCACAGUAUCCCCCAGAGUUAAAUAACUCCAUACAUACCUUUUUCAUUUCUGUGCGUUCUGUAAGUGUUAUUUGACGCACCCACCGCUAGCCUAGCUUAGCACAAAGACUGGAUGUAAAUGGAUAAUGGUAGCAUAGUAAUCCCAAUAAGUGACAAAAUAAUGCAAACAUUUUCCUAUUUACAUGUUGUGAUCUGUAUAGUCACAGCGUGUACAAAUAACAAGGCUAUAUGAGACAGAGACCAUUUUUAAUCAUAUAAAUACUGGGAACUAUAUUCUCACUAGGCGUAGGAGCACAGCUAACGUUACUUGGGCGGAGUGGCUACUUGGGCGGAGUGAUUAGCGCAGCACCCGAGACGCGCCGUGGUGAGGAGCAGAGAGUUCGCUCAGAGUUGGAGUAAUAGAGUAUCUGUAUAGUCACAGCGUGUACAAAUAACACGGCUAUAUGAGACAGAGACCAUUUUUAAUCGUAUAAAUACUGGGAACUAUAUUCUCACUAGGCGUAGGAGCACAGUUAAAGUUACUUGGGCGGAUUGGCUACUUGGGCGGAGUGAUUAGCGCAGCACUCGAGACGCGCCGUGGUGAGGAGCAGAGAGUUCGCUCAGAGUUGGAGUAAUAGAGUCAGCAAUUACUAGAUAGUAAAUUUAUAGUGUACAAUCAUGGGUGUUCGCUGUAUUGUAAAGAGCUGCGACAAUAAACAGGGGAGACCAGGUAAUACUAUGAUGUUUCAUAGAAUUCCAACCAAAAACGCUGACAUGGAAAAUAUUUGCAUUAUUGUGUCACUUAUUGGGAUUACUAUGCUACCAUUAUCCAUCUACAUCCAGUCUUUGUGCUAAGCUAGGCUAGCGGUGGGUGUGUCAAAUAACACUUACAGAACGCACAGAAAUGAAAAAGGCAUCACCCAACCAAAACCACUGCACCUGCUCCAACCCAUUUCAAAUGAUCUCACCAUUUGCUCAACUGACAAGACCUUGGCCGAUCUACAGUAUGUUGAUGAUGUGGUCUGGAGGCGAAGAAAGUAAGGAAUUUCCUGGGGAUUUUUUUUUUUUUCAGUUUCAAGUUGUUUUCCUAAAUCCAGCCAUACGGCAAUGUGCAUGUAGGUCCAAUGUUAACAUUAUUUUCAACUGAGUUUGAGUUUUAAAAUGAUUGAGAACAUUACAUGUGUUCUGAAUAAACCAAGAUAUGAACUAACACUGGAUCCAUUUUAGAAGGCAAAAUUGAUCUUAAGCAGGCUAUUCUGAAAGAUUUAAGGUUUUUAAAUUAAACUGAUUAACUAAAGGUUACAAUUUAGCUUAAAUAAAAAGAAUCUCCUCCAAAAGCUGAGAGAGAACAAAUCAAAUUAAGAACAAGACCCCACCCCGCUGUAUAACCUUAUGGAACCUUUCUCUCCCAGCAUCUGCAGCUAAACAGAUUUAAACCCAAGUGACCUUUUUCAGGCCGUCCCGCCCUUUACUGUAACCAUUAAAAGCCUUCAGUUUUAUAGCUUUCCCCCUAAGCAAAAUCUUACCCCAAAAUACUACCAGACAGCCGCAUAUCCCUUACGAAAAAGAAGAUUAUUCAAGUGGGCUAUUAGUAUACUUCUUUUAAACUAAAAAUAGGAAAGUAUGCUUUUAGUUUACUUUUUAUGUACUUCUCAGAAAUGGGCUUUAUGUACUUCUCAGAAAUAUACUUAAAAUGACAUUUAAGUAUUCUUGACUUAUUCUUACCAAAAGUCUAAAUAUAUUUGAGCUAUACUUGUGCUCCUAGAAUCCGUGUUUUCAUUGUUAUACGGUAGAGGGUGCUAGUACACAUCUUCUGUACAGAAUUUCCAAAAAAACACAAUUGAAGAAGAAAAAGAAACAACAGAUACUAACACAUGUAACACGAUCAUCUGACAUGAAACAGCAUCAAAACUGUAACGUUAUGGAAUAAAAUGUUGACCGAUUAAGAGGUAAUAAUUACAGUCAAGCUUUGGGGUGUUGAUCGACUCCAUCUACGUUUUGAUUUUAUUCUGAAUCCAAUUCAUGGUCUUUUUCAGCUUUUUGUUCAAAAUGUUAUUUCUUUAUUUUUUUAUGAAACUUACCCACAUUAAAGUGUUUAAAAAAAGAAUGCAUGAAGGUAGAAUAAAAUGUUUUUAUUUACAAGUAGAUUCCCUGUUCUUUCUUUUGGUGUUUUGUAUGUUCAGAUAUUCAUAUAACAAAAUAUAUACAAAUUAAAACAUAAAUCGGGACAUAGUAGUAUACUUAAAGUAUGAUGUAAAGUUCACUUAUGAGUAAAACUUAUGAGUAUACUUGCAGUAUAAAACUACUAAACUAGUAGUUUACUGAGACUAUACUUCAAAGUGUACAAAGUAUUUAAUUAGUAAAGUAUCAGUAUACCUAUAAGUUCACUUUUAGUAUAAUUGUGUACUCAAAGUUUGCUACUGCU
rnacentral:lncRNA from 1 species